rnacentral:rRNA from 1 species
CCUACGGGCGGCUGCAGUGGGGGAUAUUGCACAAUGGGGGGAACCCUGAUGCAGCGACGCCGCGUGGGUGAAGAAGCGCCUCGGCGCGUAAAGCCCUGUCAGCAGGGAAGAAAAUGACGGUACCUGAAGAAGAAGCCCCGGCUAACUACGUGCCAGCAGCCGCGGUAAUACGUAGGGGGCAAGCGUUAUCCGGAUUUACUGGGUGUAAAGGGGGCGCAGACGGCGAUGCAAGCCAGGAGUGAAAGCCCGGGGGCCAACCCCGGGACUGCUCUUGGAACUGCGGGGCUGGAGUGCAGGAGGGGCAGGCGGAAUGCCUGGUGUAGCGGUGAAAUGCGUAGAUAUCAGGAGGAACACCGGUGGCGAAGGCGGCCUGCUGGACUGCAACUGACGUUGAGGCCCGAAAGCGUGGGGAGCAAACAGGAUUAGAUACCCGGGUAGUC